rnacentral:rRNA from 1 species
GAACGCUGGCGGCGUGCUUAACACAUGCAAGUCGAACGAUGAAGCCCAGCUUGCUGGGUGGAUUAGUGGCGAACGGGUGAGUAACACGUGAGUAACCUGCCCUUAACUCUGGGAUAAGCCUGGGAAACUGGGUCUAAUACCGGAUAGGAGCGCCUACCGCAUGGUGGGUGUUGGAAAGAUUUAUCGGUUUUGGAUGGACUCGCGGCCUAUCAGCUUGUUGGUGAGGUAAUGGCUCACCAAGGCGACGACGGGUAGCCGGCCUGAGAGGGUGACCGGCCACACUGGGACUGAGACACGGCCCAGACUCCUACGGGAGGCAGCAGUGGGGAAUAUUGCACAAUGGGCGAAAGCCUGAUGCAGCGACGCCGCGUGAGGGAUGACGGCCUUCGGGUUGUAAACCUCUUUCAGUAGGGAAGAAGCGAAAGUGACGGUACCUGCAGAAGAAGCACCGGCUAACUACGUG